AUUUGCAUGUUAUAGUGUGGUCCAUUUCUUAUAACUAUUUAAUAUACACUCAAUAAAACAAUAUUCAUUGAUUUUCAAUUUUAGAAAACAAAAUGAAAGUUAUAAUUAGUAUAUUGGUUUAUGACUGAAAAAAAGAAAGUAUAUUGCCACAUCUUAAAUGAGCUCCCAUCGAACUUGUCGAACUUGUCGGGAAGGAGGCCUGCUGAAUUUGCCGCUGGAUGUUGAAAUUGCUCAAGGGCUUCAGUUUGCAUAGAUUCAUGUACAACUACUUUCACCGGAGGGAGCGUACCAAAUUGGAUUUCAGCUUCAGUUUCACCCCCAUUGUUGGUGACCUCGUCGACGUUCGAGAUGUUGACGUUCUCAGUUGACACAAAACCAGAUCAGUACCAAAGUUAUAAUAUGUGAGUUAAUCAAGAGAAAAUACGACAAGUUACAAUCUUUCUAUUUGAACACAAAUGAAAGCAAAACCAGUUGCAUGUUUCUAAUUAAGACGUCAUCCUAUAAACAAUUACACAUAUAUUUUCAGGUUUCACUCUACACAAUUGAUAAUAAAAAAAAAACA
rnacentral:sRNA from 1 species